AGUGAACGCUGGCGGUAGGCCUAACACAUGCAAGUCGAACGGCAGCACAGUAAGAGCUUGCUCUUACGGGUGGCGAGUGGCGGACGGGUGAGGAAUACAUCGGAAUCUACUUUUUCGUGGGGGAUAACGUAGGGAAACUUACGCUAAUACCGCAUACGACCUACGGGUGAAGGCAGGGGAUCUUCGGACCUUGUGCGAUUGUAUGAGCCGAUGUCGGAUUAGCUAGUUGGCGGGGUAAAGGCCCACCAAGGCGACGAUCCGUAGCUGGUCUGAGAGGAUGAUCAGCCAAACUGGAACUGAGACACGGUCCAGACUCCUACGGGAGGCAGCAGUGGGGAAUAUUGGACAAUGGGCGAAAGCCUGAUCCAGCCAUACCGCGUGGGUGAAGAAGGCCUUCGGGUUGUAAAGCCCUUUUGUUGGGAAAGAAAAGCAGCAGGUUAAUACCCCGCUGUUCUGACGGUACCCAAAGAAUAAGCACCGGCUAACUUCGUG
rnacentral:rRNA from 1 species